rnacentral:rRNA from 1 species
GACGAACGCUGGCGGCGUGCUUAACACAUGCAAGUCGAACGGUGAACGAGGGAGCUUGCUCCCUCCGGAUCAGUGGCGCACGGGUGAGUAACACGUGAGCAAUCUGCCCCGAACUCUGGGAUAAGCGUUGGAAACGACGUCUAAUACCGGAUACGACGCGGGAGGGCAUCCUCUCCGCGUGGAAAGAACUUCGGUUCGGGAUGAGCUCGCGGCCUAUCAGCUUGUUGGUGAGGUAACGGCUCACCAAGGCGACGACGGGUAGCCGGCCUGAGAGGGUGACCGGCCACACUGGGACUGAGACACGGCCCAGACUCCUACGGGAGGCAGCAGUGGGGAAUAUUGUACAAUGGGCGCAAGCCUGAUGCAGCAACGCCGCGUGAGGGACGACGGCCUUCGGGUUGUAAACCUCUUUUAGCAGGGAAGAAGCGAAAGUGACGGUACCUGCAGAAAAAGCACCGGCUAACUACGUG